UAGGGAAUCUUCGGCAAUGGGGGGAACCCUGACCGAGCAACGCCGCGUGAGUGAAGAAGGUUUUCGGAUCGUAAAGCUCUGUUGUUAAGGAAGAACGAGUGUGAGAAUGGAAAGUUCAUACUGUGACGGUACUUAACCAGAAAGGGACGGCUAACUACGUGCCAGCAGCCGCGGUAAUACGUAGGUCCCGAGCGUUGUCCGGAUUUAUUGGGCGUAAAGCGAGCGCAGGCGGUUAGAUAAGUCUGAAGUUAAAGGCAGUGGCUCAACCAUUGUAGGCUUUGGAAACUGUUUAACUUGAGUGCAGAAGGGGAGAGUGGAAUUCCAUGUGUAGCGAUGAAAUGCGUAAAUAUAUGGAGGAACACCGGUGGCGAAAGCGGCUCUCUGGUCUGUAACUGACGCUGAGGCUCGAAAGCGUGGGGAGCGAACAGG
rnacentral:rRNA from 1 species